rnacentral:lncRNA from 1 species
CCCACCUCGGCCUCCCAAAGUGCUGGAAUUACAGACAAAAAAAAAGUGAACAAGAAUUAAAAGAUGAAGAAAUGGAUUUAUUUACAAAAUAUUACUCCGAAUGGAAAGGAGGUAGAAAAAACACAAAUGAAUUCUAUAAGACCAUUCCCCGGUUUUAUUAUAGGCUGCCUGCUGAAGAUGAAGUCUUACUACAGAAAUUAAGAGAGGAAUCAAGAGCUGUCUUUCUACAAAGAAAAAGCAGAGAACUGUUAGAUAAUGAAGAAUUACAGAACUUAUGGUUUUUGCUGGACAAACACCAGACACCACCUAUGAUUGGAGAGGAAGCGAUGAUCAAUUACGAAAACUUUUUGAAGGCAAUUUUUCACAGCAAAAGUCUUUGCUAAACUCCUUCAUACAGAUUCAUAUGGAAGAAUUUCCAUCAUGCAGUUCUUUAAUUAUGUCAUGAGAAAAGUUUGGCUUCAUCAAACAAGAAUAGGACUCAGUUUAUAUGAUGUCGCUGGGCAGGGGUACCUUCGGGAAUCUGAUUUAGAAAACUACAUAUUGGAACUUAUCCCUACGUUGCCACAAUUAGAUGGUCUGGAAAAAUCUUUCUACUCCUUUUAUGUUUGUACAGCAGUUAGGAAGUUCUUCUUCUU